GCUUGUUUGUGCAAAUAGCCUGGGAUCAGGCUGUGAUUCCUGGAGCCUUUUUCUCCUUGCGGAGGUGGGGGGACGAGAGCGAACUCUGUGACAUCUCGGGGAGGCAGCAGGUUCCUGUGGCCCCUAUGCCGGGGGGAAGGACCGAGAGGCAGCAGGGAGAGGAUGUGAAGCAGGACCUGGCGAAGAAAGGGGGGGGCCCUACCGAUCCCCCCCACUCAAGAGGCUCAGAUGUGUGAAACAAAUCCCAAACCCUCUGUUAUGAAUUUUUUUUUUGGCACGCGCAGGAGGAAGUGAUGGAGUUGCUCCUUUCUGGAGAGCGGCUGCCAACCCCGAUGCAGCCCCCUGCGGCCCCCCAGCCCCUUUGCCAGCGUUUGUUCCUAGCAGAAGGGCUGUUUGUGUGUUGUGUGGGCUCCUGUUUUUUGUUUUAAGUGUGGCUACAAUCAUCUGCUGAGAGGCUCACUACUCCGGCUCGUUCCCUGCCAAUUUCCCUGAGAGCUGGCACUACAGGCGCUCCGGAGGCAACGAAGAGAGGCUGGGGAGGAUAGAUCGUGAAGGGAAAAAAAUGGACACAUGCCAUCGACGGAGCGGCGAGGUGCCAGAAUGCCAGCAGGCAGCAUGGGGCCAAAAAAAAAAAAAAAACGCCACACGGAGCGGAAAAGAAGCUGGCAGCCCCUCUCGAAGCAGGCGCUGGCUGAGUUGGCAGAGGUGCCAUGGAGGACGGGCUGCAGAGAGCAGGCAAUGCGGGAGAGAGAGAGAAAAACAGACAGACAAAUUGGCAGAGGCAGGACAGGUAGCAGACGGCGAAUGGGGAGAGGAAAAAGGCUUUCCUCCCACCCCAGGCCUACGCCAGGGUCAAGAGCAGUUGGGCCCCAGAUCUGGUCCAGUCCAAACACCAGGGGGAGAGUCAUCUCCGUCACACCAGCCUGUCUUCUGCACUGACCCCCAGCCUCGCCUCAGCUAGCAUCUGGAUCACACCGCGCCUCCGCUCCUUGCAUUCCUGUCCUGGGCUCUACCAAUCGCAAAGGAGCAUCCCAGUGCAUAGAGAAAAUACCUGCAGCGUCCAGCUUUGAAGAGAUGCAGCCCGCAGCCUGGCCCCAAAGGGAUCCCUGUUCAUCGCUGGCUCUCACUGGGUCCAUCACACUGAGGAUUCCAUUUCUCCCGCCGAGAGAGUACAGCGCUCUGCUUGUAGGAUAGCCACGCAGCAGUCCGGUGGGAGCCUCCGCCCUCCUCCCCGUGCGCCCACUCCCACUGCGCACACUGAACUGCAUCAGCAUCCGCUGGCGUUGGGAGCUCGCAAACACUGCCCUGGAGAGGCCAGGCCAGGCGCCGUCCCCUCCUCGUAGGGAUAUUCCUGGAUUUCGGCUCUCCCACUGGGAGGUGUAGGAGGAACCUCCGAGGCCCCGGCAGAGGAUGUCUUACAACAGCCAGUCGGCAGUGCGCAGUGUCUCUCUCCGCACAUCGCCAGCUGGGUGCAACGGUGCACACGUGGUGAGCACACGGCACCGGGCCAGGGAGUUAGCAGUGUGCUGGGAGAAGGGCGGGUUAUGGCUUGCAGGGAUACACCCAUCGUUGCUCAGCUAUUGCCCGGGACACUUCAGACAGCCUGCUGGGAUGUGGGAAUGAGCAUGAAGGCCUCCUGGAAUUUCACAAACGGCUCCUUUGGCAGCGGGUCAUGGCUCAGGCCGGCACAGGCAACUGGUGAGAAUAAGUCAGGGCGCAUCCAGGGAAGGGGAAAGCAACGGUGAUUCGUUAUUUAUACGGCACCAUACGUAUACACGGAGCUUUACAAAACCCCGACACCACAAGGGCCUGCCCGCAAGGCACUCACAGUCGGACUGACAGCACGCCGGGCGGGGAUGGCCAGCCAUGAGGAGAAGUGGGCUCACAGCUGGGAUCUGAAAGGAGGGUCACAGAACCCGGGACGAUCACCAUCCUUUGUUAUUUGCAUCUCAGUAAUGUCUGGAGACCCCAAACUGAGAUUGUGGCCCCAUCGUGCUAGGGGCUGCACAGCAAGUCUCAGUUCCAGUCCCGGUCUCUAAGAGCUUACAUAAGACAGAUAAAGGAGAGGGGACACUGAGGCACAGAGCACCCUAGGUGACACAGCAGGCCAGUGGCAGAGAACCCACAUCUCCUGAGCCCCAGUCCAGAGCCCUAUCCACUAGACCACGCUGCCUCCCACAGACUCAACUCCGAUUCCUGAGCCAUGCAUACAAAGAGCUGCUCCCACCUCCACCCCAUGUUGCCAGAUCCAAUUCCACCGUCCACAGCACUGCGGUGGCCAUGCAGAUACCCCUGUGCUUUCAGUUCUCAGCCCUCUGCUGCACCCCCACAUCAGCCCCGGCUCUGAGACAUGUCAGACAGAGCAGGGCUCCUCCAAACACAGCAGUAGCCAGGACAGACAGACCGACAGACACCCCAAAUCUAUGCCCAAAUCAAGUGACCUCCCGGGCUUUCGUUCGCUAUCGCAUCCAUUUCCAUGGAAACGCUUUCCAUGGGCUUACGGCGCCCUGCCAACCUUGGCUAAUCUUCCAAAGCCCAAACACGGGGUUAGGGGCUUUUUUGAACAAUGUGUUUUUAUUUUUGGAGAGGAAGGUGAGAGAGAGCGAAACAGAGAGUGUGUGUUGCGGGGGGCAGGGGAGCGCGGGAUUUACUUUCCUUCCCUCUAAACCCCACGGAGCAAAGGUAUGUGUGCAGGAGCUGGCGGUCACUGUCGGGUUACAUCUGCUGGGGCAUGCAAGAGCGAUUCCAGAUGCACUAGAAGUGCCGUG